rnacentral:lncRNA from 1 species
GGCAGAGGAAGCUCAUCAGUGGGCCAUGUGCUGAGUCAUUCUCUGCCCCUGGAAAGGUCUGAUACUGGGGCAUCCCUUUGCCAUAAUGAGGGUACUCCCUGAGUAGGGAGAUGAGUUACCAGAGAGCACAGUUCCAUUCAUUGGCAGCCUGGGCAGGAGAGGACCAGAGUGGGUGGAUCUCUCUCUCUCUCUCUCUCUCUCUCCCUCUCUCCCUCUCUCUCUCUCCCUCUCUCUCUCUCUCUCUCUCUCUCUCUCUCUCUCUCUCUCUCUCUCUCUCGGAUGUCUCUUUUCUACUAAAAUAUUUUAGUGAAUUUCAAUUUGAAAAUUUCCAAAUU